CCUACGGGAGGCAGCAGUAGGGAAUCUUCCACAAUGGGCGAAAGCCUGAUGGAGCAACGCCGCGUGGGUGAAGAAGGUCUUCGGAUCGUAAAACCCUGUUGUUAGAGAAGAAAGUGCGUGAGAGUAACUGUUCACGUUUCGACGGUAUCUAACCAGAAAGCCACGGCUAACUACGUGCCAGCAGCCGCGGUAAUACGUAGGUGGCAAGCGUUAUCCGGAUUUAUUGGGCGUAAAGGGAACGCAGGCGGUCUUUUAAGUCUGAUGUGAAAGCCUUCGGCUUAACCGGGGUAGUGCAUUGGAAACUGGGAGACUGGAGUGCAGAAGAGGAGAGUGGAACUCCAUGUGUAGCGGUGAAAUGCGUAGAUAUAUGGAAGAACACCAGUGGCGAAAGCGGCUCUCUGGUCUGUAACUGACGCUGAGGUUCGAAAGCGUGGGUAGCAAACAGGAUUAGAUACCCGAGUAGUC
rnacentral:rRNA from 1 species